GACGAACGCUGGCGGCGUGCCUAAUACAUGCAAGUUGAGCGCUGAAGGUUGGUACUUGUACCGACUGGAUGAGCAGCGAACGGGUGAGUAACGCGUGGGGAAUCUGCCUUUGAGCGGGGGACAACAUUUGGAAACGAAUGCUAGUACCGCAUAAAAACUUUAAACACAAGUUUUAAGUUUGAAAGAUGCAAUUGCAUCACUCAAAGAUGAUCCCGCGUUGUAUUAGCUAGUUGGUGAGGUAAAGGCUCACCAAGGCGAUGAUACAUAGCCGACCUGAGAGGGUGAUCGGCCACAUUGGGACUGAGACACGGCCCAAACUCCUACGGGAGGCAGCAGUAGGGAAUCUUCGGCAAUGGACGAAAGUCUGACCGAGCAACGCCGCGUGAGUGAAGAAGGUUGUCGGAUCGUAAAACUCUGUUGGUAGAGAAGAACGUUGGUGAGAGUGGAAAGCUCAUCAAGUGACGGUAACUACCCAGAAAGGGACGGCUAACUACGUG
rnacentral:rRNA from 1 species